rnacentral:rRNA from 1 species
AGGGAUUGCCUCAGUAACGGCGAGUGAAGCGGCAACAGCUCAAAUUUGAAAUCUGGCUCCUUCGGGGCCCGAGUUGUAAUUUGCAGAGGAUGCGUCGGGUACGGGUGCCUUCCGAGUUCCCUGGAACGGGACGCCAUAGAGGGUGAGAGCCCCGUCUGGUAGGAUACCCAGCCCGUGUGACGCUCCCUCGACGAGUCGAGUAGUUUGGGAAUGCUGCUCUAACGGGAGGUAUACUCCUUCCAAGGCUAAAUACCGGCUGGAGACCGAUAGCGCACAAGUAGAGUGAUCGAAAGAUGAAAAGCACUUUGAAAAGAGAGUCAAACAGCACGUGAAAUUGUUAAAAGGGAAGCGCUCGCUACCAGACUUGGGUUCGGCGGUUCAACCGGGGCCACGCCCCGGGGCAUUCCGCCGGCCCAGGCCAGCAUCAGCUUUCCGUCGGGGGUAAAGGCGUCGGGAAUGUGGCUCCCCUUCGGGGGAGUGUUAUAGCCCGUCGUGUCAUACCCUUCGGGGGGCUGAGGUACGCGCUUCUGCAAGGAUGCUGGCGUAAUGGUAGCUAGUGACCCGUCUUGAACACGACCAAA